GUGCCAGCAGCCGCGGUAAUACGUAGGUGACAAGCGUUAUCCGGAAUUACUGGGCGUAAAGCGCACGCAGGCGGCGCAUUAAGUCUGACGUGAAAUCUCCUGGCUUAACUGGGAGGGGUCGUUGGAGACUGAUGUGCUUGAGGCGAUGAGAGGGGUGUAGAAUUCCCGGUGUAGUGGUGGAAUGCGUAGAUAUCGGGAGGAAUACCAGUGGCGAAAGCGACACCCUGGCAUUAGCCUGACGCUCAUGUGCGAAGGCGUGGGGAGCGAACGGGAUUAGAUACCCUCGUAGUCC
rnacentral:rRNA from 1 species